rnacentral:rRNA from 1 species
AUUGCCUCAGUAACGGCGAGUGAAGCGGCAACAGCUCAAAUUUGAAAUCUGGCCCCCUCGGGGCCCGAGUUGUAAUUUGUAGAGGAUGUUUCGGGUGUGGCUCCGGUCUAAGUUCCUUGGAACAGGACGUCAUAGAGGGUGAGAAUCCCGUAUGUGACUGGCAGCCUACGCCCAUGUGAAACUCCUUCGACGAGUCGAGUUGUUUGGGAAUGCAGCUCAAAAUGGGUGGUAAAUUUCAUCUAAAGCUAAAUAUUGGCCAGAGACCGAUAGCGCACAAGUAGAGUGAUCGAAAGAUGAAAAGCACUUUGGAAAGAGAGUUAAACAGUACGUGAAAUUGUUGAAAGGGAAGCGCUUGCAACCAGACUUGCGUGCGGCCGAUCAUCCGGUGUUCUCACCGGUGCACUCGGUCGUGCUCAGGCCAGCAUCGGUUUCGGCGGCUGGAUAAAGGCCAUGGGAAUGUAGCUCCUCUCGGGGAGUGUUAUAGCCCGUGGUGCAAUGCAGCCCGCUGGGACCGAGGACCGCGCUUCGGCUAGGAUGCUGGCGUAAUGGUUGUAAGCGACCCGUCUUGAAACACGGACCAAGGAGUCUAACAUCUAUGCGAGUGUUUGGGUGUCAAACCCAUACGCGGAAUGAAAGUGAACGGAGGUGAGAACCCUUAAGGGUGCAUCAUCGACCGAUCCUGAUGUCUUCGGAUGGAUUUGAGUAAGAGCAUAGCUGUUUGGGACCCGAAAGAKGGUGAACUAUGCCUGAAUAGGGUGAAGCCAGAGAAACUCUGGUGGGAGGCUCGCAGCGGUUCUGACGUGCAAWUCGAUCGUCAAAUUUGGGUAUAGGGGCGAAAGACUA